CCUACGGGCGGCAGCAGUGAGGAAUAUUGGUCAAUGGGCGCGAGCCUGAACCAGCCAAGUAGCGUGAAGGAUGACUGCCCUACGGGUUGUAAACUUCUUUUAUAAAGGAAUAAAGUGAGGCACGUGUGCCUUUUUGUAUGUACUUUAUGAAUAAGGAUCGGCUAACUCCGUGCCAGCAGCCGCGGUAAUACGGAGGAUCCGAGCGUUUUCCGGAUUUAUUGGGUUUAAAGGGAGCGUAGAUGGGUUGUUAAGUCAGUGGUGAAAGUUUGCGGCUCAACCGUAAAAUUGCAAUUGAUACUGGCGGCCUUGAGUACAGUUGAGGUAGGCGGAAUUCGUGGUGUAGCGGUGAAAUGCUUAGAUAUCACGAAGAACUCCGAUUGCGAAGGCAGCUUACUAAACUGCAACUGACAUUGAUGCUCGAAAGUGUGGGUAUCAAACAGGAUUAGAUACCCCAGUAGUC
rnacentral:rRNA from 1 species